rnacentral:miRNA from 1 species
AUUUUUUCUGUGUUGGUGUAAUGAACUCAGGUGAAUAUGAUGCUUAUAAUGUUACUCUAAGUUAUAUUCACCUGAGUACAAUCCACCAACACAGAAAAAAUCAUGAUUACUA